UCCUGUUGUGGCCCAGUGGGUUAAGAACCUGACAUAGUGUCCUUGAGGAUGUGGGUUCAAUCUCUGGCCUUGUUUAGUGGGUUAAGGAUCCAGCAUUGCCACAAGCUGCAGCGUAGAUUGUAGGUGCGGCUCCCAUUUGACCCCUAACCUGGGAACUUCUAUAUGCUGCAGGUGAGGCUGUAAAACAAAACAAAACAAAACAAAAAAAAGGGGGAAGAAGUAGUAGUUGUGGCAGAAUUGUGGCUAUUGUGUUGUUAAUAGAUUCAGAAAUAUUUGGUGGGGCAGUCUAAAAUUCCAUAAAUCUGAAUGAUAUGGAUUAUAAACAAGUACGUCUGAAUUAGCAUUUUGUUCAUAUUUACCAGUUUUAUGGCUUGAAAGAUGUGAUUUUAGUCAUGACAUAGUUGAUUAGACCUGUGAAUAAAUGACUUAUCAUUAUAUUUUUCCCACUUGGCUAAAGGAAUUUCAGACUAAGAAGUUUUUAAGUACAAAAUUAGUAUUUUCAAAAGUAGCUUUUUUCUCUUGGGUUGGGGAUUACAUUCAUUAAACAAAAAAUAGUAAGAAACUAAAUAUGAUUUAAAAUGAGAUUGAAAAAAAUAAUGGAGUUCCUGCUAUGGUUUCAUGAACCAGCUCUCUGGUGGCCCUGGUUUGAUCCCUGGCCUGGGGACUCCAUAAACUAUAGGUGCUCCCUCCCUUCCCCCAUGUAAGUAAAUAAGAGAAGAUUGAUUCGAGUUUCAAUCACAAAUUAAAAAUGUGGCCUAUUUAUUGAAAAAUGUAUAAACUUUUCAUGGUAAUAAAAAUAUGAAAUGUUAGUUGGGAGUUCCUGUCGUGGUGCAGUGGUUAACGAAUCCGACUAGGAACCAUGAGGUUGCGGGUUCGGUCCCUGGCCUUGCUCAGUGGGUUAAACGAUCCGGCAUUGCCGUGAGCUGUGGUGUAGGUUGCAGACGCGGCUCGGAUCUGGUGUUGCUGUGGCUCUGGCGUAGGCUGGUGGCUACAGCUCUGAUUCGACCCUUAGCCUGGGAACCUCCAUAUGCCGUGGGAGCGGCCCAAGAAAU
rnacentral:lncRNA from 1 species